rnacentral:rRNA from 1 species
AGCGGCGGACGGGUGAGUAACACGUGGGUAACCUGCCCAAGAGACUGGGAUAACACCUGGAAACAGAUGCUAAUACCGGAUAACAACACUAGACGCAUGUCUAGAGUUUGAAAGAUGGUUCUGCUAUCACUCUUGGAUGGACCUGCGGUGCAUUAGCUAGUUGGUAAGGUAACGGCUUACCAAGGCAACGAUGCAUAGCCGAGUUGAGAGACUGAUCGGUCACAUUGGGACUGAGACACGGCACAAACUCCUACGGGAGGCAGCAGUAGGGAAUCUUCCACAAUGGACGAAAGUCUGAUGGAGCAACGCCGCGUGAGUGAAGAAGGGUUUCGGCUCGUAAAGCUCUGUUGGUAGUGAAGAAAGAUAGAGGUAGUAACUGGCCUUUAUUUGACGGUAAUUACUUAGAAAGUCACGGCUAACUACGUGCCAGCAGCCGCGGUAAUACGUAGGUGGCAAGCGUUGUCCGGAUUUAUUGGGCGUAAAGCGAGUGCAGGCGGUUCAAUAAGUCUGAUGUGAAAGCCUACGGCUCAACCGGAGAAUUGCAUCAGAAACUGUUGAACUUGAGUGCAGAAGAGGAGAGUGGAACUCCAUGUGUAGCGGUGGAAUGCGUAGAUAUAUGGAAGAACACCAGUGGCGAACGCGGCUCUCUGGUCUGCAACUGACGCUGAGGCUCGAAAGCAUGGGUAGCGAACAGGAUUAGAUACCCUGGUAGUCCAUGCCGUAAACGAUGAGUGCUAAGUGU